UAUUUUAAUAGUUAAUUCCUCACAUUUUGCUUAGUUAAUUCCUUAACGAAUCGAUUUUUAACUCAAUUUCUAUUUUCUUAGGUACAUUGGAGUAAAUGAUGGUGAAAUGAGCAUUAGGUUCACACUUACCUAUAAAUGGUGGAGAAAAAUGGAAAUGUACUAAAAUGUCAAUUUUACACAUUUUCCUACUCCGGCUAGGAGAAACCAAGCCAAGCAAGGAAGAAGGAGCGGCCGCCUGACCAAAUGAACUCCAAAUGAGCUGAAACUUUCCAGAUCCAUUUUAGACAUCCUAAGGAUCGUUUCUUAUGAAGAGUGCCAGAGCUAGAAUUGAGUGGAAGGCCUUCAAACAGUCAGCCCAAUUUCCUGCAGAAGCAAAACUGGAAAACUGGACCCGUAAGGAGUCCAGCAGCAUUUUCGGCCCAACCACAUGGAAUAAAAAUCUGAAAUUUUACCAGGGUGAUCUACACUCAUAAUGGAACAUUUUUUAUGAAGAGGUCAUAGUGAAAUUGGGAAUGCUUGUUGGAGAAAUAAUUGAAGGAAUAAAGGGGCAGAAACUGAUCUAAAAACAGCUCAACACCACAUGUUCAAGUUUCCUACCCACAUGAAGAAAGCUAGAUGCUUUUCUCUUUUUCCUUGGAUAUAUUUUUCUGCUCCAAUAGAUCAUCAUCACUUCCAUACUUCUACACCUUCAUGCCUUGCUUUCAUUUCAUCAUUACUCCAUCUUUUCCAUAUUUUACAAACCACUUUCAUUAUUUUUCUUCCAUUUAUCAUUUCACUCUUCUUUUUCUUCCCUAUAUAAACACCUUCUCCUCUCACUCUAAAAAACAUUCCUUCAUCCAUUUCAUCUUCUUUGUCUCUCCAUUUCCAUUCCAUUUUUCUCUCCAUUCUCUAGUUGCAAAAUUCUGCGUUUUCAAGUAAGAAGAAGAAGAAGAAGAAGGAGCCGGGAAUAUCAUAUCCUCCAUCGUCCACCUUGAAGGCUUGCUUCCAAGAUUCAAGAUUUCAACGUUUCAAGCACUCCAUCUCCAUCUCCAACUCACGGUACCGUCUGGCUGCAAGACGUAAAAUACAAGCGCUGCUUGGGAGGCAACCCAAUUCAGAAUAUAAUCAGAUUUGCUUUCUCUUCCCCUUUUACUCCUCCAUUUUCUUUUUGUUUUAGUAGUUAUUUUCGUAAAUUCCAUCCCUAUAUGCUUACUUAUUUCAUUGCAUACUUUUAAUUGAUUACAUUGAGGAUAAUGCAAUAUUUAAGUGUGGGGGAAGGGAUUUAUAUUUUUGUCUUUCAUUUUGAAUCCUAUAAAUAUUUUUGUCUUUCAUUUUGAGUCCUAUAAAUAUUAUUGAGUCCUAUAUUUUUAAAAAAUAAUAAUAAUAAUAAUAAAUAAAUAAAUAAAUAAAAAAAAAAAAAAAAAUGCAUUCAUUCAGUCUUAUUAAAUUUAGCUUUUUACAAAAAAAAUAAAAAAUAAAUAAAAAUUAAAAUAAAAAAAAAUUAAAAAAAUAAAAAAAAUAAUAAUAAUAAUAAUACACUGUAUUAUGCCAAAUCUGCAGCUCCGGAGGAGUUGAGACUGAGCUCAAGGGAAAUGCGAGAGCCACUCGCCCGCAUACCGCUCCUCCAAAGGAGUAAAUGGAGGUACAAGUCUAGGCUGAAAGACUUUAAACAUUAAGCGCUGCAUGGGAGGCAACCCAUUUCAACCGUAGCUGUGGAGGAGCCAUCAACGCAGAUUUGCUCUCUUAAACUCUAUCUCCUCUAUUACUAUUUUCUGAUUGUAUCUUUGUUAUUUGCGUUUUUAGUUUUUUUUUUUAGGUUUUCUUGAGUUAAUCAUUCCAUUCACAUGAUAAUUGUUCAUUGCAUGCUCUAACUUGUUUAACAUUGAGGACAAUGUAUGAUUUAAGUGUGGGGGGAAGGAUUAAUGCUUGUAGUUAGUUUUUGUCAUAAAAAGAAAACAAAACAAAAAAAUCGAAAAAUGUCAGAAAUAUAAAAAAUUUCGUUGCUUUUGUUUUUGUUUUGAGUCUUAGGAUGCCUUUCAACUGUCUGGGAUGAUUCUAUAUCUCUGAAAUCAUGACUAAAAGAGGAUCACAACAUUGAGAUGAUUUUAAACAUGGUAUUCUUUGGUUAAUUGAGAUAUAUGAAAAAUGUAUGCACUUGUAGUGGAUAUGGAUUGCAUGACCUUGGUACAGAAUAUGAGCAUGUUAAGAUGAGUUGUGAUUCAUAAAAUCCAUGUGAGAUAAUUGAACCAUGUCCCUUUUUCUUGGAGUGAAAUGAAAAAUAUAUUCUUAAUUUCUUGGCGAUGUUUUGAUGAUCUCAUUAUUCUUUCAUCUUGAUUGACUGUUUGCCAUAGAUUAAGUUUAAUUGACUAGAGAAUGCUAGAAUUCGCUCUUGUGCUUGUUGAGACGUGAUAUCAAUACAUGGCCCUGAUUCUGGAAGGGAUAGAGGUUCUCUAGGAAUUACCACCAUUGCUAAAUAAACUUGUGUCCCCAUUUGUGCCCGUCGUGGGACCCCCCUAGAUAAGCCCCUUUGAGCCUACAUUAAGCCUUUUCGUUCAUCACCCUUAAAAUCCUUAACCAUGAAGCUUAGUAUAGUUACAACCCUACCCUUUGUUCUAAGGACUUAGUGGAGCUAUCUUUUGAGACAUACUACAUGGGUUUGGUGCUAAGGAUGAAGAUUGAGAAGAGGUGAAAGUUCAAGUGUGGGGAUAGACUUGUCCAUAAAGAAAAAGAUAUGUUGAAGCCGUGAAAAAUGAAAAGAAAAGAGAAAAAUUGUGUACGGCUAAAAAGAAAAAAAGAAAAAAAAAUAUAUGUUUAUGGACUUUCAUCCCCCAUACUUAGUGAUUUUGGAGUUUGCUUUGAAUUGAAGGCCCACUACAGAAAAAUUUGGCCUUUGUCCAUUUCACUAGAGUUCAAGGGAAGUUUAUAUUGAAGAUUGGGCCCAACAUGAAGACAUUUGGCCCUCUUAUAUUACCUCUAUGGAGAAGUGACGUUUUUUGCAAUGCCUUGGUGAAAUAUUUCGAGAUCUCUACAUUCAUAUGAGCUCUACUAGGUUUUUAGGACACUUUGAUAAUCCUUACCUUUCAUUUCUUUAAACCUUGAGCCUUAGCCCCAUUACAACCUUUGAGAGGACCUUCUUGAUCCUUAAGAUGGGACAGCCUUUGAUGUGUAGAUGAGUUACAAGAGUUGAACCUAUGGCUUGGGUCCAUUAGUGCAAGUAGUUGAUAUCCUUCAUGUGAUCUUUUGAAAAAAAUUAUAUUCACAAAGUGCUUUUCGUUUCUUAUAUAUGUGAGCUAUUUGACUGCCUUAAAAUAUGUUCUCUCACAUAUAAAUGAGUGAUUAUAAGCUUUUAAGCAUUGCCUUGAUCUGAGAGAAGAAAGAGUGGAUAUACCUUGUGAGGAUAUGAAUCAUACUUGUCUGAAGCAUGCUAAGCUAAACCCCAAUCACCAUUAUUACAACCAAGUCCUACUUGUGUAUGUGUGGAUCAUAUGUUUUAAUUAACUCUCGAAUGCUUAACAUUGAUUCUUGAUUGAGUGCUAAUCUUGGUGUUGUGAAAGUAUGAGAUUUCUGAGACAAUAUGUUAAAGGGCAAUAGAGGUCUUUGUAAUGUCAACAUCAUGGUCUUUGUCUUUGAAUUUACUCUUUUAUGUGUGACGUUUUUUUUUUUCUUUGUGUUUUGCUUUGUGUUUUACGUUUUUGGUUUCUUUGAGUCUUUGUGUUUUUGUUUCCAUACUUAGUCAUUUUUUUCGUUGGUUUCUUUGUUUUGUGUCAUAGUCUUUUUGGUUUGUUAGUUUUUGAUUUUGCUAAGGGACUAGCAAAAGCUAAGUGUGGGGGAAUUUGAUAGGAGCAUUUUAAUGUGGUAUUUUAAUAGUUAAUUCCUCACAUUUUGCUUAGUUAAUUCCUUAACGAAUCGAUUUUUAACUCAAUUUCUAUUUUCUUAGGUACAUUGGAGUAAAUGAUGGUGAAAUGAGCAUUAGGUUCACACUUACCUAUAAAUGGUGGAGAAAAAUGGAAAUGUACUAAAAUGUCAAUUUUACACAUUUUCCUACUCCGGCUAGGAGAAACCAAGCCAAGCAAGGAAGAAGGAGCGGCCGCCUGACCAAAUGAACUCCAAAUGAGCUGAAACUUUCCAGAUCCAUUUUAGACAUCCUAAGGAUCGUUUCUUAUGAAGAGUGCCAGAGCUAGAAUUGAGUGGAAGGCCUUCAAACAGUCAGCCCAAUUUCCUGCAGAAGCAAAACUGGAAAACUGGACCCGUAAGGAGUCCAGCAGCAUUUUCGGCCCAACCACAUGGAAUAAAAAUCUGAAAUUUUACCAGGGUGAUCUACACUCAUAAUGGAACAUUUUUUAUGAAGAGGUCAUAGUGAAAUUGGGAAUGCUUGUUGGAGAAAUAAUUGAAGGAAUAAAGGGGCAGAAACUGAUCUAAAAACAGCUCAACACCACAUGUUCAAGUUUCCUACCCACAUGAAGAAAGCUAGAUGCUUUUCUCUUUUUCCUUGGAUAUAUUUUUCUGCUCCAAUAGAUCAUCAUCACUUCCAUACUUCUACACCUUCAUGCCUUGCUUUCAUUUCAUCAUUACUCCAUCUUUUCCAUAUUUUACAAACCACUUUCAUUAUUUUUCUUCCAUUUAUCAUUUCACUCUUCUUUUUCUUCCCUAUAUAAACACCUUCUCCUCUCACUCUAAAAAACAUUCCUUCAUCCAUUUCAUCUUCUUUGUCUCUCCAUUUCCAUUCCAUUUUUCUCUCCAUUCUCUAGUUGCAAAAUUCUGCGUUUUCAAGUAAGAAGAAGAAGAAGAAGAAGGAGCCGGGAAUAUCAUAUCCUCCAUCGUCCACCUUGAAGGCUUGCUUCCAAGAUUCAAGAUUUCAACGUUUCAAGCACUCCAUCUCCAUCUCCAACUCACGGUGUGUACCCUCAAUCCCCGGAAUAGAACGAUCCCUAUUUGCUUAUACUACUAACGAUGUUUUCAGGGUUAAAUUAUGCGCUUGCUUUGAGCGUAUCACAACGCUGCCCCCAGACGUGGAUCGAAGCCCCCCAGAGCCUAGCAUUCGACCCGACCGGAUCUUGGCCGUGCCGGCGUUGCACGGGCCGAUCCUCCCCAUUUUCGUGAUCUCCUCUUCCUCCUGAUCAUCCCCAUAUAAGCCUUGCAUGACGAUUUUGGGUGUAGAGCGCUUGAUCAAGGUUUGACUUUUUAGACGGCUCUGAUUCAAUCUGGAAUCAGAUCAGACGCUCCGGAUUAAUCGAACUUCAAAGCUUGAUCUAGGACGAUCUAAGCCAAACCAGACUUAGCUCCAGGUUAUCGACGGAUUGAUUUGGCGGACAAUUCGGGAAAAUUGUUGUUUUAGCUGUUAAGAAGACGCAGCUGGAUUAGAGCGGGUAGUCUUACAGGUCAGGAGAAUCAGGGCAGUGAUCGUGCGGUUUAGAGUAUUAGUAUUAGAUUUACAGCAAUUGUUUUGUGAGGAGAAUUAUACUCAUUUGAGUUUUACUAUUUGAUUUGGUGAGAGUGUGCUGUAAUAAGUAGCUUGAGGAUUUGGUUUAUGUAAUAUCAAAGGUGUAAUGUGC